AUACGUAGGUGACAAGCGUUAUCCGGAUUUACUGGGCGUAAAGGGCGUGUAGGCGGUCUUGCAAGUCAGAAGUGAAAUUCCUGAGCUCAACUCGGGCGCUGCUUCUGAAACUGCAGGACUUGAGUGCUGGAGGGGAUAGCGGAAUUCCUAGUGGAGCGGUAAAAUGCGCAGAUAUUAGGAAGAACACCGGUGGCGAAGGCGUCUAUCUGGACAGUAACUGACUCUGAGGCGCGAAAGCGUGGGGAGCAAACAGGAUUAGAUACCCUGGUAGUCCACGCCGUAAACGAUGAGCACUAGUUGUUGGGUCCGAAUGGAUUCAGUGACGCAGUUAACGCAAUAAGUGCUCCGCCUGGGGAGUACGGUGGCAACACUAAAACUCAAAUGAAUUGACGGGG
rnacentral:rRNA from 1 species